rnacentral:lncRNA from 11 species
GAUGUAGGAAUUUUUGUUCGUGUCGGGAGCAGCGUUCAUGCAGCAUUGACUUUGAGAGUGAAGAAGUGGGAUACUACUACUGCUAACAACAACAGCAACAACAGCAACAACAACAACAACAACAACAACAAUAUACUUCACCUUUCUCACUAUAAUGAGACUCAAUGUGUCAAACAACAUAUUUUAUAUAGUACAAAUUGAAACCAUUAGAAAAAGAAUAAAUAUAAAAUUGAAAAAAAAAAUAUAAAAUUAAAACAUUG